rnacentral:lncRNA from 1 species
UUACAUUGUUUUUGGCUUCAUAUAUAGCCGAGUAAAAGUAAAAAAAUCUCUUUCUCUCCUCUUUCUGUUAUUUCUUUUUCUACUAUUUUUUUUGUUUUUUCUUGGUGCUGCGUUGUUUGUCUGCCUCCUUUGUUUUGCAGGUGUCGUACGAAGACAUGGCGCGGUGCAACGUGUGAAGGUGUGGUCCCUGGUGGUGGCGCACGUGCGGAGGCAUUGGCGGCGGCUUGGUUUCCAGAAACCCUAGGAUUUCUAUUCUUAGUUUUGGGCUUAGGAGAUUUGGGUUGACGUUUAGUGGGCUUGUAAUACUGGACUGUUAUUUUAUUGGACUUUCUAUUUGGUUUGGGCUCCGGCCAAAAUUUGGGCCCUACAGCUGCCCCUUUUUGCUCAUUGUCGUGUAACGAGGAUAGAGUAAAGACUAAAGAGGACCAAUUUUGUCCGGUCGUGCUUGGACCUCGGUGCUCUUUUUCUUCAAGUAGCUUCACUCCAUCCUACUGCAUCUUUAGAGGUAUUGGAAUUGGUGUUUCGAUCCACUCUACCGCAACGUCGGGGAGAUUUGAUGCGAUCUGCUCUACUGCAACUUCAGAGAGAUAAGAUCUAUUACUUUAAUCCGCUCCACUACAACUUCAGGGAGAUAGGAUUAUCGACUUCAACCUGCUCCACUGCAACCUGAGGGAGAUAAGAUUUGCUUCUUCAGUCUGCCCCACUGUGACUUCAGGGGGAUAAGACUUGUUUUCUCAGUCUGCUUCGCUACAACUUUAGGGAGAUAGGAUUGAUUUCUUCUGUUUGCUCCACUGUGACUUCAGGGGGAUAAGACUUGUAAUUUCCAACCUAUUCCUCUGCUGGUCAGGGACAUAGGGUUUGUGGUUUAAAUCUGUUUCCCUACUCCUAGGGAAGAUAAGAUUCGUCGUCUUCGAUCUGCUCCGUUGGUGCUUAGGAAGGCAAGAUCUGCUAUCUUUAACCAGCUCCACUGCAACCGAUGGAGGCAAGGCUUUGUUUUCGAUAUGCUUCGCUGUUAACGCAGGAAGGCAAGAUCUGUUAUCUUUAACCAGCUCCAACUGCAACCGAUGGAGGCAAGGCUUUGUUUUCGAUUUGCUUCGCUGUUAACGCAGGAAAGCAAGAUCUGCUAUCUUUAAACAGCUCCAACUACAACCGAUGGAGGCAAGGCUUUGUUUUUGAUCUGCUUCACUGUUAACGCAGGAAGGCAAGAUCUGCUAUCUUUAACCAGCUCCACUGCAACCAAUGGAGGCAAUGCUUUGUUUUUUAUUUGUUUCGCUGUUAACGCAGGAAGCCAAGAUCUGCUAUCUUUAACCAGCUCCAACUGUCGCCGAUGGAGGUAAGGCUUUGUUUUCAAUCUGCUUUGCUGUUAACGCAGGAAGGCAAGAUCUGCUAUCUUCAUUGAUCUGUUCUCUGGGGAACAUGACCUGUAUAAUAAACUUAAUUAUGCCUAAUGAUUAGGAUGGCAUGAUCAAAAUGAAUCAAAUGCUCCUAACUAGACAUGUGUGAAUGGUGUUUGCAUGAAUGCAGAAUUUUAUUUUUCCGAGAAUGAUCCCGCUUAGGUUGUCAUUACUAGAAGUUUAUUAAGGCCUUAUCACCUAAGUGUUGUAACACCUUCCUUCUCGACUGGCGUUUUUUGAAGAAACAUUUAACCAGGUUGCCCCCCACUGUAAACCUUAAAUUUUAAUCCACUGGGGCACAAAAAAAUGUACCAUCAUUCUCCCACUGUAAUCCAAUGGUAGAAAUAUGUGGAUUUUCCUCGGUCAUCUUUUAUCACAAUUCGGGGAUAUAGGAUUCGAAUCGUUUCGGUUUCUUACACCAUUCUCAGGGUGCCAUACCAAAGAGUUAUGCGCAGAUGAAAGCUCUCUUCUCCGAGGUAACCUCUUUCUGUUGCCUGGUGAUCAUUGCUUGCUUGUUUACUUAAGCUUUAUCACCAACGUGGCAUCUUGUCACUUAAUGCAUUUGACAAAAAUCCAAAGAGAAAGUCUAAAUUUAGACUAUUCCUUCUCAAAUUUCCCACCUUUAAAUUUGGUGUGUUCUAAACAAUAGUCUUGUUUCAGGCUCCUAUAUUAUUUAGAAACUUUUCAGAGUAAUAUGCAAAACUUCCUUUGUGAAAGUUUUAUUAGUCCAUUAAUCAUUAUUCCAAUGCAACAUGUUUGUAAAAAAGGUCAUAACGAUGGAUAAGAAUAAAGUUGGUUCUGAGCAUAGCUUGAAAGAACAAAUUAUCAAAAAUAGUAAAGAAGGAUGACAAAGAAAUUAAUUGGGAAUGUGUAUAUCUUGGAAAAGAAAAAAGUUUUCCAAGAACAACAAAUAAUAUGAGAAUUGGGUGCCCCAGAUAUCGCAGUUUGAACUUCUCUGUACAAACUUUUUGAAGACCAUUCUGAGUUGAACAUGUGUUUAGGAGAUCUACAGUGCUCUGUCGAUGCCCCAAUAUGUCGCCUAUCCUUUCCUGUUGAUUCAGGCAUAGCAAGAUCACCACAUGCCCCAAUAUGAUCAAAAUUUGAGCAGCUUAAAUCACCUCAUGCCCCAUUCUGAUCAGUAUUUGAGCCACCCUUUUUAGGUUUUCAACUCAAAUACCCUUUGGCCUAAAGCACCAUUUGUGGGUUUUCCCCUUAGCCUCUCCAUUUUACUUUUCAUUUUUUCGUUUUUCAUUUCAUUUUUUUUUGAAAUCCAUUGUCUUGCAGUACAGUGACAAACUGUGGUGUCUGAUUUUGAACUGAUUACAGCCCUCAGCUAUCGUGCUGUCAUUCAAGUUCAAUGCAAUUUCUAAUACCAUCCUCUCUGGAAUUCUAUAUCGGCAUGCGAUGACAUUGACGCAUGCAGUAGCCUCUAUCCCUUUGAUGAAGUAAUUAAUGAUCUCAAUAGUGAAGCAAUGCCCAUUAGAAGUCUUCGAUAAUAGUGAUGUCCAUGCCCCAUUUUGCUCGAAACUUGAGUCGUCCUUUUCGGGUUUUUAACUCAAAACCACCUUUGGUCAAAAAGCGUCCUUUUUGGGUUUUCGCCUUGGCCUCUCCUUUUCUUUUCUUUUUAUCUUUUCAUAUUUUAUUUUGACUUUGAUUUUUUUCUUUUUUGCUUUUGACUUUGAUUUUUUUUUUGAAUGUGAAUCCUUUUGAUCAGAAUAAGAUUUCUCACUUUCAUCUUGUAUGCGAAAAACCCUCUUUGGUAUCAGGUUUCUUUCAUAGAGCCUUUUGGGGCGCAACUACGAUAGAAAACUUUGGAUCCUCCUCUUCAAUUAGGAUAAAAUCUAACAAAACUUGAAGAAAUAAAAACUCGACUUCAAACGGGCAAAGCUAUACUGAGUUAACAAGAAAGGCAUUGCCCCGGCAAAGAAUUUUCAUUGCGUCACUCACAUUGCAAAUUUUGUCAUUGUGUUGUUGCGUAGAUUUCAUUAUCAGCGCUUAACCCGGCAUAUCCUGGUAUGAUCAUACAAAGACAUCUUUAAACUCUAGAGGUGACUCAACAAGGUCUCGCUUCGUCUUUGACGUCAGGUCAAAUCUAAUAUUUACCAAGCUUACAAUUUUUAAUAAUUCCUUGAGAGGUAGGAUCUGUUUAUCCUCUUGUUCUACCAUCCUCGACAAGUUCGGAGAUAAGCUACGAUCUAUGUCAUUUUCAAGGCCAUGAGAUCCGUCUAAACACAUGUCUCGCUCAAGAGGAAAAUAUGAGUCUGUAGCAGUGUCAUUCAUGUAAUUGAUAUCUGGGGACCCAUAAUAAGUACCAAAGAAUAUGCAAAAGAAUGUAUAAAUUUAUGAAUAAUUAUUUAUACAAUAUGAUUAUGAAUGAAUAACAAUUUAGAAGAAAAUUCAAAAGAAUGAAAGAAUCUGGAUUUGUUUGUAAAGAAUGAAAAUAUUGGCUUAGCAAUAAUUGCAAAGAUGUAUUUCAUUAAAAUAAUAACAUUCAGACAUGAGCCUAUUUCACAAAGGAAUUCUAUCAUUUUUAGGCUAAAAACAAAAAAAUUGUUCUGAACAUUACUCUAAAUAGGUUCUAAAAACUACAAGGCUUUCUUCCGCAACGUAAUUGCUUAGAACACUCCAAAAUUUAUAAGGGCGGAUAUCUAGCAAGGUCCCUUCCUUAGUUACUUUUUGUCGAUGUGAACAUUUCCCACUCUUCUUCAUGCAUUGCAUUCACUCCAUUUAUCAAUUAUGAUUGGGUAAUGGAUUUUCCGCACUGGAGGAAUCAUCAAAUUUAACGACACCCAUACUGAUAAGCCUUUCAAUCAAUUUUUUAAAGGCAAUGCAGUUUUCUAUAAAAUGCCCCGUAUUUCCCGCAUGAUAUUCGCAUUGUGCAUUUGCGUCGUGCCAUCUGGGGUAUAGAGGCUGUGGAGGCUUUGUGUAGAGAGGGGCAACAAUGCGCGCGUUGAAUAAGCUUUGAUACAGCUCCUUAUACGACAUCGGAAUUGGCGUGAACUGAAGGUUCUCAGUGCCUUGUUUCACAUAAGGUUUUUGUCUUGAUGAACCUUGUUAACUAGCGACCCCUUUACCUGGAUGACUUACUGACCUUGAGUAAGCUGUAUUGUUCACCUCAUUUUCUCUUCUCCUUGGGGUUGACCUCUUAUCACUCUCUUCCACCUCAAUUUUUUCGGCUCUUAUAGCACUUUCAAUCAUUUCACCGCUCAUGACUAUGUCAGAAAAGCUUGUUGUAGCACUUCCUAACAUGUGCGUAAUGAACGGGGCCUUCAGUGUAUUGAUGAAGAGCAUUGUCGUCUCUUUCUCCAAGAGGGGUGGCUGAACCUAGACUGUAACUUCUCUCCACCUCUGUGCAUACUGCCUAAAACUUUCGCUCGAUUUCUUUUCCAUGCUUUGCAAGGUGAUUCUAUCAGGAACCAUAUCCGUUACAUGGCCGUAUUGUUUCAUGAAUGCUUGUACUAGGUCCUUCCAUAAAUCAAUCUUGGUGCGGCUCAACUGAUUGUACCAUUUCGACGCUGCCCCAAUGAGGCUAUCCUGAAAACAAUAUAUUUAUAACUGAUCAUUGUUAAUAUACCUAGUCAUUCUCCUAUAGAACAUGGUGAUAUGGGCUUCUGGGCAAUUGGUCCCACUAUACUUUUCAAAUUCAGGCAUCUUAAACUUGCGAGGGAGUACUAAGUCUGGAACCAAGCUCAGAUCUUUCGCAUCGAUUCCAUGGUGACUAUCGGCGCUUUCCAAGGCUUUAAAUUUUUCCUCCAACCAUUUACACCUAUCUUCCCAUUGUUUUGACAGUUUGACGCUUGCCUUCUCUUUUUCAGCCAUUUCAUCGAAAUCAGGAAUAACAAGAUUCACUGGGUUAUCCCUAAGAUUAGAACCUGAUCCAGCCUCGGUCUGAAUCUACGCAUGCAGAGGCGUAAAGCCUAGAGGAUAGAUAGGUCUAUCAUUGUCUUCUUCAUCAUCAUUUACCAUAGGACCUUUCCCUUUAUCUACUCCCUUAGUCAGUAGAUGGGUCAAUUCAGCCAUCGCAUCUUUUUGAGACUUGAUCAAUUUUUCCAUCAUGUCUUCUUGAAUUUUAUCUAACCAUUCUUGCAUUUGCACUUGUAAUCGUUCUGGCAUAUCCUUUUGCAUUUGCUCCAGUUUUUCUAAUCUUUGGUCCAUUUCUUUAGUCUUUCGACGAGUACCGUAUUGAUGCUUAAUAGUUGAGCUUUUGUCGGUUUCCAAAUUAGCUGAAAUAAAUUUACUCAAUUAGACCCUUUCAAUGGACUUUAAUGCAUGUAAUGCGAAUGCAUGAAAUGUAUGCCUAAAGAGACGUUGAUUCUGAUUCAAUUACAUUUAGAAAACUUUUCUAGAAAGUAAAUUCCCUUACAUAAAACGGAUACAUGUACGGCCUCAUCCUCAUAUUCCAAUAAACAAUAUCGAUCUUUUUCUUCAGGCACAUGUUUGAGGUAAUCUCGCCAAUAGAUGCCAUUGCUAGCUCCUUUUCUUGAUCUUGGUUGCAAUCCACCACCUUCCCGUCUCCAUGAGACCCGUCAGCUUCUUUAAGGGAGUUGGAACGUCGAAGGCUCUUAGACAAUCGCCUUAAACCCUCAGGCCACGAAGCAGGGUCAUGAACUCUUCCAUCGCCAUUCUUGUGUUUCUCGGAAUAUAUCCGGGAAGUCGUAUUGUUUUCCACUUUAUCAAGGAAUUCGUAUUCCAUGACAAACUUUCUAAUUUAGUAAUCGGACUUGAAUCAAUAUCUCUUUCCUAAGAUGCAAAUGCAAUGCAAUCAUAGUCAAAACACAACAAGAGGGGUUAGUACAUAAUAGAAGCAAACAAGGAAAACAGAAAGUACCUAAUCAGGUAACCACUAGGGAUUUGGAGUGGCCCUACCUAGGUUAAGUUCCUAAGCCCACUAUAUAAGGGUUGGUUCUAAAGUCAAGGUACCCGAACCAGCAGAUUCCUCGUUCUUCACCCGUUAUGGGCUCAUACAGACCGAGUUCAGUUCAGGGGAAUAUAUUUCCCUAUGGCUGCACGGAGAUGAAAAUCUCACGAAGACAUAGGUACGGAUGUAUCCCGAAAGUGGUUCACUAUCCUGCACGGAGGUGAAAACCUCACGAAGGAGUAGCUUCUCACUCCCACUUAAAAGGACAAGACUAAACAGUCUUAUGCAAUAUGAUGCCAAAAUAUACAAAUCAAUUUACAAUAAUCAUGCAAACAAGCGCAAAGAAAAGAUCGUAAUUUUUCAAAUCAAAUUUUCAUUUUUCGACAAUAAGACAGAAAAUAAUCAAUUUUACGGCUUAACUCUCUAAGUGUCCCCAGUGGAGUCGCCAAGCUGUCAAAACCGUUUUUUUGGAAUUUGAAAAAUGGGUAUCGAUUUUGAAAAUGGAAAUGGGAGUCGCCACCGAUCCUUUAUUGAGGUGUGAUCGGCUCACCUUGAAAAUAAUUUUGGUCUGCGAAAUUUGAGAAAACAGGUUCAGGAGUCGGUUACGCACGAGGAAGGGUUAGCACCUUCGUGACGCUCAAAAUUGGUACCAGAGUUAUUGUUUAAUGUCUUAAUGUCGAAAUUUUGAAAAGAUUUUUAAAUACGAUCCUUUUAUUUUGAAUAAAAUGAAUUAGACGAUGAGAUCCACUUAUUUCAAAGAAAUAAAUCGUCACACUCAUUAAGUUAGAGUGCAACAUUUUAAAUCCUUAAAAUUGAGUUUAUCUCUCGUCUUUUAAAACCUAUGCAUCUUGAGGAGGAUGUCCGAUUAUCUGGGUCAAAUGAGAAAAUCAAAACCCCGUACGUUACGGUUCGAUUUCACAAAAUUCCUAAAUAUCGAACAUUACCUUAAAAUCCUCGUCUCGAGAAAAUAAUACGUCAUAUUCAGUGCGUUAGGACACAACGCGUCAAAUUCCCGAGAAUGAGCUUUUAUUUGAAAUUUAUAUGUUUGAAAAAUUUCGAUAUUUAGAUUUGACGAGAAAAUUGGAACCCAAUACGUUAGGGCUCAAUUAUCUCGAGGAUUCCAAACUUCGAGUAUUUUGAAGAUUUUUGGAUACAUUGAUUUUGAUAUUUAAACGAAAUUUGAUGUAAUUCUUUUGAACGAAAUAAAAAAAAAGAUGGAAUAAUGAUGUACAAUGCGAGAUGAUGAUUCAUAAACCUAUAUGUUAAUAAACAUAAAUAAUCCAUAAAACCAAUAAACAAAUACCAUAUACAUAAAUGCAAUAAUCUCACAUCACAUGUAAAUAUCAUCAUUAAUAUUUAAAACCUAAUGAUUAAUAAUAAAAACUAAGAAACAAGCAAAUUAUCACAAACACCAACUCAAUGUACAAGUUUUGAAAUAACCAAAAAACGUGAAAGAAAGGAAAUUGAAAAUUAUUGAUAUAUUAACAAUAUAAAAUACUUAAAACAAAUAAGAAGUAAGAAAAUUUGAAAUAAUCAAAAAUUAAGAAAAUUAAGAAUAAAUGAUAUAAAAUCAUAUAUAUUUAUUUAGAUAAAUAGCAUAUAUAAAACGGAGAAUUUAAUAUAUAUAAUAGUAUAAUAAUAUGUACAUAUAGUUGCAAUAAAAAAGAUGAACUAGAGUCUAAAACAAGAUAUGGAAAAUGAUUUAAAUAGGUAAAAAAUAUUAUAUGAAAAUGAGCUUUAAAUAGCUAAUAUGAAUUGAUUUAAGGUAAAUAGUAUAAGAUGAUUUUAAAAUAAUUAUUAUAUAAAACAAUUUGGAAUAAAACUAUAUAAAAACAAUUUUAAAAUAAUAUGUAGUAAAAUAAUAUAUAUAUUUGAAGAAUAAAUGAAAAUAUAAAUAAAUAUGAUAGCAAUCUAUAAUACUAAAAAUAAUAGUAAUAUAUAAUAAAAUAACAGUAAUAAUGAAAAAUAGUAAAAAAAAAUAAUAUUGAAUUUACUUAGUAAAGAAAUACAAAGGAUUAAAUUAUAUCGCGCUUGAAAAGCGGAGGACUGAAUAGGGAAAUAACCCCUGUCAAUUAAUUGGCGCCGUUCCAACGAAGUGAAAGCGCAUGGUCUACGGACCAAACUGAAACAGAAGCAAAAUUCGAUGCCAAAAUUGCAAAUAAAAAACUGCAUUGAAUACGCCGCAAAGGAGGGAGGACCUAGCUCGCAAAUUCCCCUCCCCAUGCCAGAACGCGCGGAUCUGGCCGCGGUUGGAUCAGGUCAUCGGGUUAUAGGGCCAAUACAGCGCUGUUUCAAGGCCACUGAAGCAGGCCUUAAACGGCAUCGUUUUCCACACAACAGAUACCUUACUCUAAAACCCUAAAAUCAACAGUUAACCUUAAACAAAUCAAAAAAAUCUAAACAUUUCUCCCCCCAUUCCAAAGUCGCGCCGCUCAGAAAAGGGAGUUCUCCGAUCUUUUGAACCGCCGUUCGACUCCAAUCACAACGGAGCAAACGACGAUUCCAAUCAGGUAAAAUCACUCUCCUUCUGCUUUCUCUCUUAAAUAGUAAAUCAAAAGAAAAAUAAAUCAAAGAUUGAAAGAAAGAAACCAAGAAUCGAGAGAAAAAUUUCAAAAUAAAAUCUAAAAAUCACCUUUCUUUUCAAUUUUUUUUCUAUUGAUAUUCUGUGUUUUUUUAUACAAUAUAUCCCUCUUUACAUUGUUUUUGGCUUCAUAUAUAGCCGAGUAAAAGUAAAAAAAAUCUCUUUCUCUCCUCUUUCUGUUAUUUCUUUUUCUACUAUUUUUUUUUGUUUUUUCUUGGUGCUGCGUUGUUUGUCUGCCUCAUUUGUUUUGCAGGUGUCGUACGAAGACGUGGAGCGGUGCAACGUGUGAAGGCGUGGUCCCUGGCGGUGGCGCACGUGCGGAGGUGUUGGCGGUGGCUUGGUUUCCAGAAACCCUAGGAUUUCUGUUCUUAGUUUUGGGCUUAGGAGAUUUGGGCUGACGUUUAGUGGGCUUGUAAUACUGGACUGUUAUUUUAUUGGACUUUCUAUUUGGUUUGGGCUCCGGGCAGAAUUUGGGCCUUACACCAUCUAUUAUUAUUUUGAUUUUAAAUGUCAACCGACAUAAACCAUAAAUAUAUAAUUAGAUAUAAUAAUAUAAUUUCAUAAAAAAUAAGAAUAAUACAUCACGAAUGGAUGAAAGCCAUAAGAUGAACACUAAAGAAAAAAUUCUCAAAGAUCCAUGGUAAACAAUAACAAGGAUAUAGAAAGGAUAAUUGAUUAUGACAUUUGGGGUUGUUCUAUAUCUUCACAAGAAAGGUAAUUCCCUAAUUU